GCCGGGCGUGGUGGCUCACGCCUGUAAUCCAACCACUUGGAGGCCAAGGCAGGGGGAUCACCUGAGGUCGGGAGUUCAAGACCAGCCUGACUAACAUGGUGAAACCCUGUCUUUA
ensembl:misc_RNA Metazoa_SRP Metazoan signal recognition particle RNA